AUUGAACGCUGGCGGCAGGCCUAACACAUGCAAGUCGAGCGGAGCGGCGGACGGGUGAGUAAUGCCUAGGAAUCUGCCUGGUAGUGGGGGAUAACGUCCGGAAACGGGCGCUAAUAACGCCUACUAUCAGAUGAUCCUCGGUCGGAUUAGCUAGUUGGUGGGGUAAAGGCCUACAAAGGCGACGAUACGUAACUGGUCUAAGAGGAUGAUCAGUCACACUGGAACUGAGACACGGCCCAAACUCCUACGGGAGGCAGCAGUGGGGAAUAUUGGAAAAUGGGCGAAAGCCUGAUCCAGCCAUGCCUCGGGGGUGAAGAAGGUCUUCGGGUGGUAAAGCCUUUUAAGUUGGGAGGCGUUACCAACAGAAUAAGCACCGGCUAACUUCGUGCCAGCAGCCGCGGUAAUAC
rnacentral:rRNA from 1 species